GGGCUGCAGGCGGCUAGCACAACUCUGUGCGCUGCAAUUUCCAUGUCUUCAGCUACUAUCGUCACAUCACACAGCAAGUUUUGACUUCUUAACUCAUUCAUAACUUUAAAAGCUUUCUUCAUGUGCCAUGGAUUCACUGUAACAGGACAGUGAAUUUCAGUGUUAUCAUCUUUCAAAUCCAAAGGCUUCUGAUGGCAAAGUUUGGUGCAUACGGGCGGCAGCAGCAUCUCCAUGGCGGUUCCGCUCGGCCUUCCUCCGGGUAACGCGGGCGCCGCGCGCUGCCACCAGCACCAUGCCAGCCGCUGCCGGGUGCCGGCUGCGCCCGCCCGGCGGAGCCCCGCUGCCCUCCGGCCCGCCGGGAGCCGCCGGCGCUGCCCACUUCCGGGGCCCCGCCUGCCGGAGGGCCGGGCCGCAGCGCGCAGCCGUAGUGGAGGCAGCGGGAGCGGUGCAGCGCACGCGGUGGGGGCCGGAGGGUUCGGCGCCUCUCGGCGGCCCCGAGGUGAUGCUGGGGAAGCGGGCGUAUAGUGUGGGCGUCGGAGCCGUGGCCGCCCCUCGGGUGAGCCUGAGCCUCGCUUGGGCCUGGCCCUCGGAAAGCUCGGUGUGGAGAGCGGCGGUCCUCUGAGGGCAGUAGCCGGGCCCGGUAAGCACCUCACCCCGAGAGGGGUGCUGGGUGAGGGAGGACGCCGUGUCUGUGUCUGGAGACAGGGAUGCUGCUGGCUUGUUUUUUUUUGAAGAAGCUGUAUGAUCUCUGGAGGCCCCUUCCAACCCCUACAAUUCUGUGAUUUUCGUUCUACUAACUAAUUAGGUUAGUUUCUUAUUAAGGCUAAUAAAACGUUAAACUAAAUGCAUUUUAAUUUAUAAUUUAAUGUUUGCCAAUCUCUAGGAAUGUUCCUUUCUUGGGAAAUGCAAUUUUAGUUUCCUUCUGAAGUCCUCUUUGUUGAUGUUCGGUUUGGGAACGCUUAAAAAAAAUUAAAUGUAUUUCCACAGGGGGGUAUCUAAAUGAAAUCAUCAGUACUGUCAGUGCUGUUUUUAUGAAGUCUGGGCUUUGCAUCUCUUGAAUUUGUCUCCACAGAUGAGCAAAUCUGUCGCUGGAUUGUGUUGGAGAAGAUGAGCUGCUUGUUGAAGAUUUGAAACGAACAACAAAAUCCUCUUACAUGGCAGUCAGCUCCAAAGGGACCAGCUGUAGGAGUGCAUGCUCAGCUGAAGCAUUAGAAGUAUCCCUGUGUGCCUGUUCCAUGGCGCUGCUGAGGUCUGAGCCCAUCAGUUCUGCCCAUGGGAGGUUGGGUAGUGCUGGUCACUGUCACAUCAUGCAUUCACAUUUCUGUAUCCCAGGGUAAACUUAUGCACAUGUUACUUCAUAAGGCAAGCCCCCUAACUCUUAGCUAUCCAUGAGACCCAAGUGAAUCUUACUAGUAAAAGACUGCACUGUGUUGAGGGAUCCAAGAUGUUGAUGAUGAAGUCAUUGUAAACUUGUCCGGAAGCUGAUGAGGGAAUGCUUUGGCACACUACUUUGUAUAGGUCCUGUAAGCACCUAGCUGCAGGUUCUGCUACCUAUUAUCAUGGCAGAACUACUUAAUAAUGUUCAUUCCUAAGUGAACAUUAAGCCUUUCAAAACUCUGACUUCUGUCAUUUUGUUCCAGUGUUAUUUUGGCUUUUAACCCAAAUGUCUGAUGUUAGCACAAGUAACUUCUCAUGCAGAACAUCAAAAGCAAACACAAAUAGAACAGGAAUCUUUUUUUUUUUUUUUUUCCUACAGUUAUUGUCUUGCACUUCAGUGAACUUGAAAGGAAUCACAUACAGCUGUAACAAAAAUGAUUGCAUCCAAAUUGCCUGGUUUGGCAAAACAGCUUACAAGUCUAGCCAUGAGAAAAGGCAUUUGAAUAGCAUUUGGAUUUUUAUGGGAUUCUAUUUGAUCCAAUGCCUCUUCUGCUUAGAAAAGAACUCUCAGAGAAAAAAACAAAAACAUUUAAAUAUGGGGGGUACACAUGCAGUUUUGAAAGGGAACAGGCUGUGUUUCUUAACAGCGAUGAAACUCUGUUUAUACAGCAGCAGUUCAAUUCACUGUAUUUACUGAGAAAAUACAGUAUUGUGGUUAAGUCUGCCCUUGCAAUGUUUCGACCCUUCCCACUUGCUUUAGAGUUGCAAAGGAAUGCAUACAAUGCUUAUCAACAAUUGCACAGUUCUUCAGAUACACUGACACUAAAAGUACUGUGUAAUACAAAAACUGCAGAAAAGUACAUCCAUUGAAAAUGAAGCUAAAGCUCUGCAUUCUAGCAACUUUGUUCCACAAGUUAGAGGCCUACACGUGAAAAGCAAUCCUAGUAAAAAUGAAUGUAGCUGCAUGCAUGUGUGCUGCCAUAUGAGCGUUUUUAAGGGAUCGCUCACCAUGCUGCCAUGGUCAUGCAAGAAUAAGUCUCUUAACAGGUUGGAAAUGUGAAAUAAGGAAUAGCAAAACAGCUGCUAUCAAAAAUAAGUUGUACUGUGACCAAAGUUAGUUAAAUAUGACUAGACAUGAAUAAAAAUACUUAAAUAUUUUCUAGCAUUAUUCCUUCACUCAAGUAAUUGCACCAAGAAUCACAGAAUUGUAGGGGCAGGAAGGGACCUCUAGAGAUCAUCGAGUCCAGCCCCUCUGCAAAGCAGGCCCCCUACAGCAGGCUACACAGGUAGGCGUCCAGCCAGGUCUUGAAUAUCUCCAGAGAAGAAGAAUCCACAACCUCCCCUGGGCAUGACAUUAUUCCCUAAAAGACUUGAUACAACACGUAGUCCAGUAAACAGGCUUUAAAUCCUCCAAUCCUAGUUUUGGAAAAGGGAGCCAGUGGUAAGAAGCUUCUGGCUUCUGAGUAGUGGAUAAAUUAGGUACUGGUGAUCAGUGCUGAACAGUAGAGUGUUCUUGGUAAAUUACACAUUUGUUUUAGUGUCGUGGAUGUGAGGAAGUCCAAGUGCAAGAGAGCAUUACGAGAAAGCAAGAGUAGGUUAUGGCUUUGAUUCAUAUUAGUACUGCAAAGUACCCGGGCCCAAAGCAGAGAUCAAAUAUGAGCAAGUCUGAGGCCCAGUGCUGCAAAGGUUUGGAUUUCUCAUAUGUGUAUCUGAGACAUCUGUGAAAGAGGUGGCCCAGGCUUUCAGUCUCUUACCUGCAGGCUUCAGUUGCAUCCUCUGCACUGGAUAAGGUAGUCAUGGCUCUCUGCUCAGUGUGUUCAGUUCACUGAAACAGCACAAAACCCAUCAAAAAUUAUUAAUUUCAACUUGUAGCUGUUAGAUUCAGUGCAGAGGUAGCAACAGGAAACCACAGCAGAGAUUUCAGAAGGGAAGCUGAACCAUUCCACUCAGCAGAAACCCAUACUUCAGUCAGGCAAAGCUCCGCCCAUCAACACAGAGUUACGCCUUACUGAAGUGAGUUCUGUACAGUUUUUGUGUACACCCUACACACACACACAAAAGGCUUUUCAACAUCCUGUUCUUAGCAAAUGAAAUACCAUGUGGAUAAGCAUUACUUCAUGGUAGCCUUCUUGUUCUGGAAAUCAUCUCAGCAAUUUUUUUUUCCUGAUCAUUUUGCUUAAAAAAAAACCCUAACAUAUAUAUUAUUGUUAUGUUUGUUCAUACUUGUCUAACAUGUCAAAACGAUAUUUUCCUUUAGAACGAAGCAAAAUCAUUUUCUACAUAGAUAGUAGCUGUAAGGUAUUUUAUUUAGCUGAUAUAAGUCCAUCUAAGCCAAUAUACUUUUGCAGCAAUGUUGUAAAGUAAUUCAAACCAAUUCAACUAUUACACAGCUUGUUUAGAAGAAAACAUGUACAGCUAAUGAAAGAAAUUACAUUCAACCAAUUAUUAUACUGCCAUCUAGUGCUUACUGAAUGUACAGCUGUACAGAGAAAUUCUAUUAAUUUAAUCAAAGCAUAAAGGUGUAGACUAUCCUGAAUUGGAAGGGGCCCAACAGGGUCCAAUCCCUGGCUGCACACAGAAUUCAAACCUAAUGUCUGGGAGUGUUGUCUGAAUGCUUCUUGCAUUCCGGCAGCUCAGUGUUGUGACCACUGCUCUGGGGAGCCAGUUCCGUGCCCUCUCUGUUUCAGUAGUUUGUGGUUCCUACCAUUGGCUUAUAGCAAAAGAAGAGUUCAGCUCAUGCAUUUGAAUAUAGACAUGCAUAUAGGGAGCUUAACUAAGAGCAGCAGUUGCGAGCAAUUUAAACUGAAAAGUGACAGAAUAUGCUGAAAGAAUCAAUUUGAAUUUUGAUUGUUUCACACACACAUCAGUAAGCCUGGAGGACCAGUACUUGAACAGCCUACUGGAGGGACAUUCAAAUAUAGAUUGAGAAAGAGCAAGUGGGAUAUAAUUCACACACAGCACAAAUUCUUUCCUUGUACAAAGAGGCAAUGAAAUCAAAGACAUUAAAAUAUUAAAAUAUGAUAUUAACGGGUUUUCCACAGACAGCUUGUUUUUGGUGUAAAAAGAUGACAAGUAUUUGAAAAUUCAUUGUAAAGAUUAAGAGCUCAGGAUCAGUACAUUUAGUUAGGCAAGAUAUCUAGUAAAACUGAAUUUCUAUUAUAUUAAAUGAAAAGUGAAGGGGAAAUCUAAGUCAAAAUAUAAAGGGGUUUAGUCCAGUAAUUCUGGUACAAGCAGAUGCUCAUAUAAUGAGUGGUUUAUUAUAGUGUUCCUGGAGUACACUUUUCAAUGACAUCAGGAAUAGUUUCUUGCUAUUUUUAUUAUGCCCAAGAAGAACAUUGGGAUCCAGGCUAAUAUACCACAGAAAAAAAAAUAGGUAUCCUCAGAAUCUGAAAUAUUAAGAAGACUACAGUAUCAGAAUACUAAUAUUUAGCCAUGCAGACAAAAAAAUUAAGCUAAUACAAUCAUGGAAGCAUAGAAUGGCUUGAGUUGGAAGGGACCUCAAGGAUCAUCAGUCUGCAGCCCCCCUGCUACAGGCAGGGCUGCCAACCUCCGUAUCUAAUACUAGACCAGGAUGCCUAGGGCCCCAUCCAACCUGGCUUUGAUGCAGUUUAUGCAUAGUUUAUGCACAGUUUAUGCAAGCUAGUUCCUGUCAAGUUGAUUUUAUGAUCUUUGAAGAAAAUAUUCAGGAAAUAGAAAAAUAUUUGUGGAAAACAAAACCUGUUUUUUCCUUGCAAUGUCAUUCUCUAUUUUAAUUUUACCCAUUGGUUUCUUAGGACAAAUUAUCUCCGAUAUUCCUUUUUUUCCAGGAAAAUCACCUGGCCAUACUAUUUAAACCCAAUUAUUUUCAGAAAUAACUCUGCAUUUCCUUUAUCAUGUACAGUUCAGGUAUAUGCUUGUCCUACUGUGAUACCUUUAUAAUACAAUAUAAAAAAAAGACAUGAUUUUGAAACCUCAGAAGAAAGUGACAAAAUUCAUAGUUAAAAAUUACUCUACGUAGGAUAAACUUUUUGCCCUGCUAAGUAGGUGGUUUCUUAAGCCCCAAAGCAUUUAAAACUCUAAUUCAUCUUUCACUCAAGGCAAAUGAUACACUGAGAUAUUCAUUUCUAAAGUUUGAUUUACAUUUCUGUUGAAAAUUUCUACAAAUAAGUGUGAAAUUAAGAGUUGUAUCCGUUAUCGAACCGCUAUUUCUUUGCUCUUGAAUACAGCUGGAAAUUUGGUAGAAAAAAGAAAGCAAGAGUGCUCAUUUUUUUCUUUACAACUCUUUCAUUCACUGUUACAUGAUGUCCUUUGUCUCAUCUGUAUUAAGCAGUCAAAAUUGUCUUUCCGUAGAGGUAAUAACUUUUAUCUAGUUAUUUUCAUCAGUCCUAUAUCUGGACUCCUUUAUAAACAUACAGGAUGUUUUGCUAAGUAGUUUGUACUAAUAAAAUAGAAUUAUCCUAUGGCUACAGCAAGCCUUCAGCUUUCAAAUUUCCAUAUUAAUUUGAGAAGGACUGAAAAACUUUUUAUUAAAACCAGUGCUAUGCUCUUCUCUUCAAGAGCUUGCAUUUAAAGGCCACACAAAUUUCAUCAGGUAUUUUAUUUAUGAAGCUGAAACUUCGUAGCAAGUGGCAGGGUUUGACUGGAUGAUUUAUACCACAUAUAAGCAGUCCCACAGAAAGCCUACAGGAAAUGUACAGUUUCCAUUGCAUGAAAAUCAGAAGCUAAAUACAGAGAGAAAGAUUCCUUUUUCACGUGUAUUCAACAGUGAACUGUUUUUUUUUUUUUAAUCUCCACAGGAUUUUAAGUACUCACAGGAGCUUGAAAUAAAUAAGUACACAUGAAGUAUCCGUAAUCUAGAAACUACACUUCAGUUACUGCAGUAUGACUGUCAGUCAGGACUGUUAAAACCAAUUCAUGCAAAUACAAGUGUCUUUACUGUUAUAUUUACCUUUUCACUUCUCAUUUGUAUUUUUAUUCCUUGUAGGAUGUGUCACAAACUCAUGUUCUCACAGCAGACUGUUUUUACACAGAGCUGAAUAUAGUGUAAGUACUAAUUGUACUUGCAGUAUGAAUAAGGAACAGCAAUAAUAAUUACACCUUAUAGUUUGAUGUGAAAAGGCUGUGAGGGUAAUCCUGUUUCCAUUCAUGUCAAAUUUAAAAUAAAACUGAGAGGAACAAAAGUAGGUAUUAGGCCUCUCUGUGAAAGUUAGUGCCCAAAUAUUGUAAUUAUUACUGACACAGAAAAGGUUAUGCCUAAGCGUAGGAUUUAAUCCUGGGUUUCUAAUCUAUGCUAGUUUUCCAUAAAGGCAGUCUGCAAAUAAAGACGACAUAGCACAGUAUUGUUGGGCCAUACUAUAUCUUUUUACCUUAGCUGUAAUACAAGAAUGGGUCUAACUCGAUGUAUUUUAGGCUCCCUGGCAAUGAUCUGCCUCAGGAGAAGAUUUUCAAGUCAGGUGCACUAAAGCAACAAUAUCUGUGACAUCUGUCAGAAGAUGGAACUGGAACUGAG
rnacentral:lncRNA from 1 species